rnacentral:rRNA from 1 species
GACGAACGCUGGCGGCGUGCCUAAUACAUGCAAGUAGAACGCUGAAGGAGGAGCUUGCUUCUCUGGAUGAGUUGCGAACGGGUGAGUAACGCGUAGGUAACCUGCCUGGUAGCGGGGGAUAACUAUUGGAAACGAUAGCUAAUACCGCAUAAGAUUGACUAUUGCAUGAUAGUCAGUUAAAAGGUGCAAUUGCAUCACUACCAGAUGGACCUGCGUUGUAUUAGCUAGUUGGUGGGGUAACGGCUCACCAAGGCGACGAUACAUAGCCGACCUGAGAGGGUGAUCGGCCACACUGGGACUGAGACACGGCCCAGACUCCUACGGGAGGCAGCAGUAGGGAAGCUUCGGCAAUGGACGGAAGUCUGACCGAGCAACGCCGCGUGAGUGAAGAAGGUUUUCGGAUCGGAAAGCUCUGUUGUAAGAGAAGAACGAGUGUGAGAGUGGAAAGUUCACACUGUGACGGUAGCUUACCAGAAGGGGACGGCUAACUACGUG